rnacentral:misc_RNA from 1 species
UACAGAGACCUCAAGCGUUAUCCGGAAUUAUUGGGCGUAAGGCGUACCGACAGGUGGUUUAGAAAGUCUUGGGUGAAAGACCGAAGCUCAACUUCGGGGUUUGCUUAAGAUACUGCUAAACUAGAGGGGCAAAGAGGCGCCUGGAACGAACGGUGUAGUAGUGAAAUGCGUUGAUAUCGUUCGGAACACCAAAAGCGAAGGCAGGGCACUGGGUGCCACCUGACACUGCUAGGACGAAAGCGUGGGUAGCGAACAGG